rnacentral:rRNA from 1 species
AAUUCAGUGAGUCAUCGAAUCUUUGAACGCAUAUUGCGCCCUUUGGUAUUCCGAAGGGCAUGCCUGUUCGAGCGUCG